AGUUUUGAUUNUUGGCCCCAGAAAUUUAACGCUUGGCGGCGUGCCUAAUACAUGCAAGUCGAACGAGAGCGACCGGUGCUUGCACUGGUCAAUCUAGUGUGCGAACGGGUGAGUAACACGUGGGUAACCUGCCCAUCAGAGGGGGAUAACAUUCGGAAACGGAUGCUAAAACCGCAUAGGUUCUUUAGCUCGCAUGACUGAAGAAGGAAAAGAGGCUUCGGCUUCUGCUGAUGGAUGGNUCCGCGGUGCAUUAGCUAGUUGNNGAGGUAACGGCUCACCAAGGCGAUGAUGCAUAGCCGACCUGAGAGGGUGAUCGGCCACAUUGGGACUGAGACACGGCCCCAAACUCCUACGGGAGGCAGCAGUAGGGAAUCUUCCGCAAUGGACGCAAGUCUGACGGAGCCCGCCGUUUUGAGUGAAGAAGGAUUUCGGUUCGUAAAACUCUGUUGUUAGAGACCAACAGACGUAUAGAGUAACUGUNAUGCGUGUGACGGUAUCUAACCAGAAAGCCACGGCUAACUACGCGCCAGCAGCCGCGGUAAUACGUAGGUGGCAAGCGUNGUCCGGAUUUAUUGGGCGUAAAGCGAGCGCAGGCGGUCAAUUAAGUCUGAUGUGAAAGCCCCCGGNCUCAACCGGGGAGGGUCAUUGGAAACUGGUUGACUUGAGUGCAGAAGAGGAGAGUGGAAUUCCAUGUGUAGCCGGUGAAAUGCGUAGAUAUAUGGAGGAACACCAGUUGGCGAAGGCGACCUCUCUGGCUCUGUAACCUGACGCUGAGGCUCGAAAGCGUGGGUAGCAAACAGGAUUAGAUACCCCUGGUAGUCCACGCCGUAAACGAUGAGUGCUANAUGUUGGAGGGUUUCCGCCCUACAGUGCUGCAGUUAACGCAUUAAGCACUCCGNCCUGGGGAGUACGACCGCAAGGUUGAAACUCAAAGGAAUUGACGGGGACCCGCACAAGCGGUGGAGCAUGUGGUUUAAUUCGAAGCAACGCGAAGAACCUUACCAAGUCUUGACAUCCUUUGACCACUCUAGAGAUAGAGCUUUCCCUUCGGGGACAAAAGUGACAGGUGGUGCAUGGUUGUCGUCAGCUCGUGUCGUGAGAUGUUGGGUUAAGUCCACAGCAACGAGCGCAACCCUUAUUACUAGUUGCCAGCAUUGAGUUGGGCACUCUAGUGAGACUGCCGGUGACAAACCGGAGGAAGGUGGGGAUGACGUCAAAUCAUCAUGCCCCUUAUGACUUGGGCUACACACGUGCUACAAUGGAUGGUACAACGAGCAGCGAACUCGCGAGGGUAAGCGAAUCUCUUAAAGCCAUUCUCAGUUCGGAUUGUAGGCUGCAACUCGCCUACAUGAAGCCGGAAUCGCUAGUAAUCGCGGAUCAGCACGCCGCGGUGAAUACGUUCCCGGGUCUUGUACACACCGCCCGUCACACCACGAGAGUUUGUAACACCCAAAGUCGGUGAGGUAACCUUUAUGGAGCCAGCCGCCUAAGGUGGGAUAGAUGAUUGGGGUGAAGUCGUAACAAGGUAGCACGUAGUCGGAAGGUGCGGCUGGAACACACUCACUUACAAGGGCAGAAUUCGCAGGCCAACCUAAAGGGCAAGUUCAGCCACUAUAGUGAU
rnacentral:rRNA from 1 species